rnacentral:misc_RNA from 1 species
UUUCCGUAGGUGAACCUGCGGAAGGAUCAUUAUUGAAAUAAACCUGAUGGGUUGUUGCUGGUUCUCUAGGGAGCAUGUGCACACCUUGUCAUCUUUAUAUCUCCACCUGUGCACCUUUUGUAGACCUUUUAGGUCUAUGUUGCUUCAUUUACCCCAAUGUAUGUUAAUAGAAUGUUGUGCCUAUAUAAUAUAUACAACUUUCAGCAACGGAUCUCUUGGCUCUC